CGGCUGGCCGGGAUAAGAAAGGCAUAGUUGUCAGCUUCUAAUCGCCCUUGGGCAAUUUUUUAUGAUCUGGCCUCAAAUCAGGUAGGACUACCCGCUGAACUUAAGCAUAUCAAUAAGCGGAGGAAAAGAAACUAACAAGGAUUCCCCUAGUAACGGCGAGUGAAGCGGGAUGAGCUCAAAUUUAAAAUCUGGCGGUCUCAGAUCGUCCGAGUUGUAGUCUAGAGAAGCGUUUUCCGUGCUGGCCUGUGUACAAGUCCGUUGGAACACGGCGUCAUAGAGGGUGAGAAUCCCGUCCUUGACACAGAUCUCCAGUGCUUUGUGAUGCGCUCUCAAAGAGUCGAGUUGUUUGGGAAUGCAGCUCAAAAUGGGUGGUAAAUUCCAUCUAAAGCUAAAUAUUGGCGAGAAACCGAUAGCGAACAAGUACCGUGAGGGAAAGAUGAAAAGCACUUUGGAAAGAGAGUUAAACAGUACGUGAAAUUGUUGAAAGGGAAACGAUUGAAGUCAGUCAUGCUUUCCGAGACUCAGCCGGUUCUGCCGGUGUACUUCUCGGUUUGCAGGCCAGCAUCAGUUUUGGGCGGUGGAAAAGGUUGGCGGGAAUGUGGCAUCCUCGGAUGUGUUAUAGCCCGC
rnacentral:rRNA from 1 species